CUACGGGAUGCAGCAGUGAGGAAUAUUGCACAAUGGGGGGAACCCUGAUGCAGCAACGCCGCGUGGAGGAUGACGCAUUUCGGUGUGUAAACUCCUUUUAUAUGUCAAGAAAAUGACGGUAGCAUAUGAAUAAGCACCGGCUAGACUCCGUGCCAGCAGCCCCGGUAAUACGGAGGGUGCAAGCGUUACUCGGAAUCACUGGGCGUAAAGGACGCGUAGGCGGGUUGGAAAGUCAGGUGUGAAAUCCUACAGCUUAACUGUAGAACUGCACUUGAAACUUCUAAUCUAGAGUAUGGGAGGGGGGGAUGGAAUUAGUGGUGUAGGGGUAAAAUCCGUAGAUAUCACUAGGAAUACCUAAAGCGAAGGCGAUCUCCUGGAACAUUACUGACGCUAAGGCGUGAAAGCGUGGGGAGCAAACAGGAUUAGAUACCCCCGUAGUC
rnacentral:rRNA from 1 species